rnacentral:tRNA from 1 species
GACUUUAUAUUCAAUGUAUGAUAUUAGGUUGCAAACCUAAAGUAGUGAUAUUUUUCAUUAAAGUCU